rnacentral:rRNA from 1 species
AGAUUGAACGCUGGCGGCAGGCCUAACACAUGCAAGUCGAGCGGUAGAGAGGUGCUUGCAUCUCUUGAGAGCGGCGGACGGGUGAGUAAUGCCUAGGAAUCUGCCUAGUGGUGGGGGAUAACGUUCGGAAACGGACGC